UUAGGGUUGGUUCUUAUCACCGUAUAAACGGCUGCAAGCCUGCAUCUUUCAUCAAACACCGCCUCUGUAGGAUUGGGUACCUAGGAUAACCAAGGUUUUCAAGGUACCAUGUUUUUUGAAGCAAAAACUUGUCUUUUAAGACAACGAUCAGAUGAUUGAUAUGAUUUUGUUUUAAUGUUUUUGAUAGCUUUCUGCUUUUCAAUGGUAAAAGAGAAAAGGGCAUCAAUGAGGAGAUGAUUAAAUUGUUAUCCUUGCACUUUGAUUGUCAGUGAAGAAACAAUGAGGGCAUGUUCUCUCUGAGAUGCUCCUUUUUCAACUACUUUCUGCUUUGGGUUUCUUCUUUUUUGUUUGGAUCAAAGAUGUUUACUUUAUUCUGCGUUAUCUAUCUGAUAGUACUUUCUCUGAAAGGAAAUGGAGAUAACACUGAUCACAUACUGAGAUCCAGUUACCUUUGAUGAUUUUCUUUUGUUACAUUAGUUGGUUUAAUUGAUUCCCUUUUAGUGUUAAUUCAUGUUGUAAGAGUUUGUGAGAUGCUUGCAUUGGAUCCAUGAUGCUACUUUUACAAACUGCGUUAUCUAUCUGAACUUCUUCUUUUGAGGGAUUGAAGAUACUCUUCCAUGCUGAGAUCCAGUCUUACUGUGUUAUUCACAUGUUCACUGUCCUCCCUGUUUCCUUCAGAUCAAGUUUUCUGCAGCCUUGGAAGAUUGGGUAUAGUGAAUAACAGAUAUGUCUGUUAUUCCAUUAACAAGAGGGUUAACAUAUCUAAUCUUCAUGGAUAAACUAGGGAUUGGCUACUUUUUAACUGUACAGUUUACAAUAUAUCAAUAUUGAAUCUUGAUCAUUAAUUUGUUCAUGACUGGACAAGAUUUCAGAAUUAUAGUUUAUGGGGAUAUGGUGGUCUACAACACUUGUUUUACAUUUGCAUUUGAUUAAGAUGGUGUAAUAUGUUAUCUGUUGUGUUCCAAGAUUUAGAGUAGAGAAAGUGGGGACAGGUUAUCGAUGGACUAUUAGCUUAGGAACCUGAUGGAGGAUGGAAUCGAAUAUGAAGAAUUUGAAUUAAACUCCUUUCCAUCAUCCACAAAACUGUUUCUCCUGCAGCUGGAAGAAGUUGCUAGGAAAUGUGAAUAUCAAUUGCUUGACUAGGAUGUAGUGUACAUUGAAUUAGAUAUCUGCAUCUUAACAAUAUCAUGUCUAAAUGAAAUCUAGCUUUUGCAUUGUUUAUGUCUCUGUUGGAGGAUCAAUUGAGCUUUGCAGGUAGUGUUGACGAGGUCAUCGAAUAAAUUCUAGCAACCAUUUGCAGUUCCAUAAACAAGGGUUUGAUCAAAAUAUUAAAAGACCAAGAAAUCCUGUUGAUCUCACUAGCUGUUGCUGCACCAGAAGUUGACUCCGAUUGAUACUUGAUUUGCAUUUCUGUUGAGUUCGAUUCUUCACCAUGUGCAACUGCUAUUUGAUUAAUCGAAAACCAUGACCUGUAAAACCUGGAAUGAUGCAAACUGUACUUUAGUUCUAUAAAGAAUAAAGAUGAAGGCUGUCUUAGAAAUUCUCUUUUCAGCCAAUGUUGGUUUCCAUGUGCUUGUUGCACUUGCUGCCAUGUGAAGCAGAUAGUUCUAAUUCUAGAACAUGAAAUUAAAUAUGAAGUAUGUUCAUUUUGCCAUGAGAUCAUUACAUUUCUUAUGAUUUUCCUGCAUCCGAAAACAUCCCAGUUCUUAUCCCCCCCAAUAACCCCAAGGUCAUGAUUUGAUUAACUUCA
rnacentral:lncRNA from 1 species